GAGCUAUCGGAUGUUUCAUGAUGACAGCAUGAAGUCAUUUUUCCGCAGGCUCAGUUUUACUCCUGAUGGCUCCUAUUUACUCACUCCAGCUGGCUGUGUUGAAUCAGGAGAAAAUGUAACAAACACCACGUAUAUUUUCUCCAGAAACAACCUUAAAAGGCCCGUGGGUCACCUGCCAUGUCCUGGAAAGGCAACUCUUGCUGUUCGCUGCUGCCCAGUCUACUUUGAGUUGAGACAAGCAUUU